UAAAAUGGGUUUUUUUCGUACAAUUUCUCGUUCUGAUUCUGGGUGUGUCGUUUUCUGGUGGAAAUUAGGGUUCCGAGGGAGUGAUCGCAAUGCUGGACUUUAGCAGGGGAUAUUUAUAAGCUUCAUCUAUGAGCUGGUGGCUUCUGUGUUUCUUAAUCUGAGGUGGGCUUUUUAAGUGUAGUAUCCGAAAUUCAAGUCUAUUGUGGACUUCCAUGUUGGUGGUGUUAGAGGUCUGAACGUGGUGAUGGGAUUGGUGCUUUUUCGGGGAAUGAAUUUCUGCAAUUCUAAUUCUCUGAUUUUAUUAUUCAUGUGCUCAUGAAGGCUAGGCUUAAGUGAAUGUGUCUGGCUGAGGUGGGUAGAUGAAGAAGAACAAAUUUUGUUUUCCGGUUGUUUUAUUGACUGGAAAAUCUGACUUAUCCCAAAGGAAGUGGGAAUCGAUAUGUGAUUUGUUUCAGUGAAUUAUAUUUGAAAUCUGAACAGUGAUGGCCUCAAGGGUCAGGCUAGUCAUGCUAUUUUUGGUGAUUUGUAUAGCGCUCUAUGGUUCUGCUGUAGCGGAACCUGAGAAAGAAGUCAUACAAAGGAUAAGGACUGCUCCUCGUAGGAACUUCGAAAGUAGUUUUAUAGGUGGUACUAGCACGGAGGCAGCUUUUAGUGGUACUGAAGAUGGUCUCCAUGGUCUUGAUGAGAGGAAAGGUGGAAGUGGUAGAGUUUUUGCGUCCACGGUUGCAUGGUUUACUCUUGUAGUGGCAGCGGCAAUGAGGUUGGGUGCAAUACCAUUCUUCUUUGUGGAGCUAGAGCCGCAAUGGGCGGGAGUGUGCAAUGGAAUGGCUGGUGGGGUGAUGUUGGAGCCAACAGAGCUUUGACCUCAUACAGGAAGGGCAGACCUAUGGUAGUGGCAACUGGGUUGUGAUUGGGAUCCUGUCUGGAGGCGUUUUCAUUUGGCUCUGUAAGAAGGUGAUGAAUCCAGUAAUUUUUAUGGCUUUCUUGUCAUUUUAAAAUUGAGGAGCUGAUUCUUUUCUCCAAAAUUGAAUUUCCAUUUUGAGCUUUGAUUUCCACCAUAUUCUAUUACUUUUGUUGAUCUCUCUGAUGUGGGAUUUCCUAUAACCCCAUAUUCCUAAAGGCAUUACGAUUGUAUUUUUGUGUUUGUUUAUGUUUUUUUUCCUCCCUCAAUUCAAUAUCCGCUGCUUUUAUUCUUACUUGGCAAUGCUUCUUUGUUAAGUUUACAUCUAGUUGUGUGCUGAAGCUAUUUUCAGCUCUUGUUGCCCUGAACUUAUUAAAUAAGCGAAAGAUUAUUUCUUUUAUUGUGCUCUUUGUUUUUGCAUUUCGGAUUGCAUUCCAUUUCUAAGCUUCAUUUUGAAUAUGUUUGUGGAUGACUAGUUCAUUUUGCAUUUCGGAUUGUUAUUUUUAUUGGAUGCAGAACCUAGUUCAGGAUCUUGGUACCCUGGAAUAACUCAAUCCCAUGAUGUGAGUGCAUUGAGGCAGAAAGAAAUCAAGGGAAAUGCUAUGAACAGCAGCAUCGUGCAGGUUGCAUUGAAAGCAUUCUUUUAUGAAUAGCUAAAAUUUGAUGUAACUGAGAAUUGCUUUUGAACUUGACCUUGUUGAAAACUGACCUCACCCAUCUCAUGUAGCUGUGGAGAUGAUGGUCGAAUUCAGGGAUGGAGGUGGAAGGAAAUUCUAGACUCAGAGGUGCCUGUGCCCAUGCAAGGUAAUCUCAAUCAAAACUUACAACAAUAAUGAUAGGAGAGCUGGGAAGAAUUCCUAAGCAGGCAGUUGGAGCUUGAGAGGGGCGAUGAUGUGGGUAGUAGCUAAUAUCGAGCUUAUGGAAGAGCAGAAGUCACUAAAACUGGCUUCAGAUGAAAAUCUUGAGUUGAAAGCUCACAUGGAAGAUCUCUUGUUGAUGAAAAAUUUCAUUGAGGAGUUGAUGGAGAAAGGUUAGCUAAUUGAAAGGCUGGAAGAAGAACUUAUUGAAAUGAGUGAUUCACUUGGGCAAAUGAAUCAUAACCUUGAAGGUUUGAAGAGUGAUCUGAAUAAGUUACUAAGGAAAGGGAUUGCCUUGAUUCUGAGGUACUUGUUUUGAAAGAGCAGCUAGAAAUGGCACAAGCUGUUGCUGAAGAAAAUGAAGCAAUUGCUACAGAAUCUCGACAGAUAGUUGAGGCAAGGAAGAACUAUGCUGAAGAGGAGGAGGUGAAGCUAUUAGAGAAGUCUGUGGAAGAGCUAGAAUAUACUGUAAAUGUAUUGGAAAACAAGGUGGAGAUUGUCAAAGGAGAGGCUGAAAGGCCAUGGUUGCAGAGAGAGGAGCUAGAAGGGGACCUUACUGAAACAGUUCAUGUGCUGAUUGUUGAUAUUGUGCAUGGAUAUAAUUACUUUUGAAAACUUUAAAUAUGAACUUUAAACAGUUCAUAUGAUUAGUUUUGGAAACUUGAUAUUGUGCAUGGAUAUAAUUGUUUUGUUGAUAUUGUGUUGAUUGUUGUCUUGAUGAAUGUUAAAUGGGUGAAAUAUGCACAGGUUCA